rnacentral:lncRNA from 1 species
GUGAUCCACCCACCUUGGCCUCCCAAAGGGCUGGGAUUACAGGCGUGAGCCACCACGCCCGGCCAGGCUGAGUUUUUCUCCAGCGGUUCAUCGAGUCCUCUGACAAAGCAAGGAGCCGAUAUAGGGCCAGUGGGACGGUCGCCAGUCAAGGGGCUGGGCUUGGUGGAAAGAUUAAUACUCACUGGACGUCCAGUCGAAACGCCCUGAAACCUAUGAUGCUGUCGACCAAACGAAGGCCUGGAAUACCAAAAUAGCCACAUAGUCAGGGCUUUCAGGCCCCUGCCCAGGCACCUAUGGUACUUGCUGGACUUGAAACAGAUGGAAGGUGAGCUCUGCCUAGGACACGCCCAGCCUCAGCUGGAGGAGAAGCUGCCUCUUUCUCAGCCUGAGCCCCCUGCUGGCUCUGUAGGACUCAGGUCACUCCUUUUUGGCCCCUCCCCUGUUCUCCCCCGGCCUCCUGGGGUGCAGAGCCACCCUGAGAUGGGGUCCUGCCCUCUCCCGCCAUCUUUUCACCCCCUCUCUAGCCCUGGGGCUGCUGUGUCCCCAGCUGUCUCUUCUCUCGCUGACACCUCCACUGUCCCAUCUCCUCCCACAGAGCUGUGCCGUUUCUAGGUGAGCUCCUGCCUGGUCCUGCCUCCUGGGUAAUGUAUCAGCCUCGCCCACUGUCUGCGGCUGCCUCUCUGGGCCCCUGGGACAGACCCCACUGUGUCCAGUUCAGGGCUGACCCUGCAGGAAUGAACUGGGGUCUGGUCUUGUGAUUCCAGAAAGCCAGGCUGCUGACGUCCCCAUCCACCAGCCCAGCCUGUGUCUUGCAGCCAUUGUAUUAGUCACAGGCUCGUGCCCUAUAGUCAGACCUCAUGCUUUCUUUUGGAGUUCGGGGUGUUGGUUGGAAAUAGUGGGGGCUAUAGGAGGAAGGAGGAUGGUUACACGGAAGGGCAUGAGAAGCUGGGGACCUGCAGGUCUCAGUCCCACAUUCUUUUUUUUUUUUUUAAGAUGGAGUCUCGCUCUGUCACCAGGCUGGAGUGCAGUGGCACAAUCUCAGCUCACUGCAACCUCGACCUCCUGGGUUCAAGCGAUUCUCCUGGCUCAGCCCCCCGACAUUUUUUAAAAUUUAUUUAUUUUCUUAGAGAUGGGGUCUUGCCAUGUUGCCCAGUUGGUCUCAAACCCCUGGGCUAAGAUAAUCCUCCCACCUCAGCCUCCCAAA